rnacentral:rRNA from 1 species
AUUACCUAGCGGCGGACGGGUGAGUAAUGCUUAGGAAUCUGCCUAUUAGUGGGGGACAACAUUCCGAAAGGAAUGCUAAUACCGCAUACGUCCUACGGGAGAAAGCAGGGGACCUUCGGGCCUUGCGCUAAUAGAUGAGCCUAAGUCGGAUUAGCUAGUUGGUGGGGUAAAGGCCUACCAAGGCGACGAUCUGUAGCGGGUCUGAGAGGAUGAUCCGCCACACUGGGACUGAGACACGGCCCAGACUCCUACGGGAGGCAGCAGUGGGGAAUAUUGGACAAUGGGGGGAACCCUGAUCCAGCCAUGCCGCGUGUGUGAAGAAGGCCUUUUGGUUGUAAAGCACUUUAAGCGAGGAGGAGGCUACUAGUAUUAAUACUACUGGAUAGUGGACGUUACUCGCAGAAUAAGCACCGGCUAACUCUGUGCCAGCAGCCGCGGUAAUACAGAGGGUGCGAGCGUUAAUCGGAUUUACUGGGCGUAAAGCGUGCGUAGGCGGCUGAUUAAGUCGGAUGUGAAAUCCCUGAGCUUAACUUAGGAAUUGCAUUCGAUACUGGUCAGCUAGAGUAUGGGAGAGGAUGGUAGAAUUCCAGGUGUAGCGGUGAAAUAC